CAUGUGAAGAAGGAUGUGUUUGCUUCCCCUUCCACCAUGAUUGUGAAUUUUCUGAGGCCUCCCCAACCCUGUGGAACUACGCUUUUACAAAAUCUGAGUCAUAAAUUACAGAUAUUCUUGAUGAAAAUUCAGAACAUAGGGUUUAUUUUCAAAAAGAAAUGUACCCAAAAGAACUCUGAGAGAAUAUACUCACUGUCCUGCUGUGAUUAAACAAGACUGCUGUAUUUUACCUGAGCUUGGCAAAGCAAGGAUAUGAACAAUUGUGCAGGUGGGCUACUCAGGGCGAGUGAAGAGAUAAGGCAUCCAAUCAGGGAUUGGCCACCUGCAGCCCUGCCAAUAUGCCCCUCCACCAGAUUUCCGUAAUCCCAGCACGGGAGACUGCCAGCAAUGGGAGAAAUUCAAUGGGCAGAAACAAAGAGAAGAACAAGGAAGUCGAGAAUUUCAGAAAUUGAAAAGGGAUAAGAGGAAGGAGAAAAUGCUGGGCUGGUGUGAAGCGAUAGCCCGUAACCCUCACAGAAUUCCAAACAACACGCGAACACCCGAGAUCUCAGGGGAUUUGGCUGACGCCUCACAAACCUCCACAUUGAAUGAAAAAUCCCCAGGGCGAUCUGCAA
rnacentral:sRNA from 1 species